GACGAACGCUGGCGGCGUGCUUAACACAUGCAAGUCGAACGGAAAGGCCCUGCUUUUGUGGGGUGCUCGAGUGGCGAACGGGUGAGUAACACGUGAGUAACCUGCCCUUGACUUUGGGAUAACUUCAGGAAACUGGGGCUAAUACCGGAUAGGAGCUCCUGCUGCAUGGUGGGGGUUGGAAAGUUUCGGCGGUUGGGGAUGGACUCGCGGCUUAUCAGCUUGUUGGUGGGGUAGUGGCUUACCAAGGCUUUGACGGGUAGCCGGCCUGAGAGGGUGACCGGCCACAUUGGGACUGAGAUACGGCCCAGACUCCUACGGGAGGCAGCAGUGGGGAAUAUUGCACAAUGGGCGGAAGCCUGAUGCAGCAACGCCGCGUGCGGGAUGACGGCCUUCGGGUUGUAAACCGCUUUCGCCUGUGACGAAGCGUGAGUGACGGUAAUGGGUAAAGAAGCACCGGCUAACUACGUGCCAGCAGCCGCGGUGAUACGUAGGGUGCGAGCGUUGUCCGGAUUUAUUGGGCGUAAAGGGCUCGUAGGUGGUUGAUCGCGUCGGAAGUGUAAUCUUGGGGCUUAACCCUGAGCGUGCUUUCGAUACGGGUUGACUUGAGGAAGGUAGGGGAGAAUGGAAUUCCUGGUGGAGCGGUGGAAUGCGCAGAUAUCAGGAGGAACACCAGUGGCGAAGGCGGUUCUCUGGGCCUUUCCUGACGCUGAGGAGCGAAAGCGUGGGGAGCGAACAGGCUUAGAUACCCUGGUAGUCCACGCUGUAAACGGUGGGUACUAGGUGUGGGGUCCAUUCCACGGGUUCCGUGCCGUAGCUAACGCUUUAAGUACCCCGCCUGGGGAGUACGGCCGCAAGGCUAAAACUCAAAGGAAUUGACGGGGCCCCGCACAAGCGGCGGAGCAUGCGGAUUAAUUCGAUGCAACGCGUAGAACCUUACCUGGGUUUGACAUGGAUCGGGAGUGCUCAGAGAUGGGUGUGCCUCUUUUGGGGUCGGUUCACAGGUGGUGCAUGGCUGUCGUCAACUCGUGUCGUGAGAUGUUGGGUUAAGUCCCGCAACGAGCGCAACCCUUGUUCACUGUUGCCAGCACGUUAUGGUGGGGACUCAGUGGAGACCGCCGGGGUCAACUCGGAGGAAGGUGGGGAUGACGUCAAGUCAUCAUGCCCCUUAUGUCCAGGGCUUCACGCAUGCUACAAUGGCUGGUACAGAGAGUGGCGAGCCUGUGAGGGUGAGCGAAUCUCGGAAAGCCGGUCUCAGUUCGGAUUGGGGUCUGCAACUCGACCUCAUGAAGUCGGAGUCGCUAGUAAUCGCAGAUCAGCAACGCUGCGGUGAAUACGUUCCCGGG
rnacentral:rRNA from 1 species